rnacentral:SRP_RNA from 1 species
GCUGGGCGUGGUGGCGGGCACCUGUAAUCCCAGCUAGUUGGGAGGCUGAGGUGGGAGAAUCACUUGAACCCAGGAGGUGGAAGUUGCAGUGAGCCAAGAUCAUGCCACUGCACUCCAGCCUGGGUGACAGAGUGAGAUUCCAUCUCAA